AGCAACAAAUGCCCUGCUUCCAGGAAAAGCCUCUAAGCAUCAGGUAACAUCAAAUCGUACCCCAAACCGACACAGGUGGUCAGGUAGAGAAUACCAAGGCGCUUGAGAGAACUCGGGUGAAGGAACUAGGCAAAAUGGUGCCGUAACUUCGGGAGAAGGCACGCUGACACGUAGGUGAAGUGAUUUACUCAUGGAGCUGAAGUCAGUCGAAGAUACCAGCUGGCUGCAACUGUUUAUUAAAAACACAGCACUGUGCAAACACGAAAGUGGACGUAUACGGUGUGACGCCUGCCCGGUGCCGGAAGGUUAAUUGAUGGGGUCAGCGCAAGCGAAGCUCCUGAUCGAAGCCCCGGUAAACGGCGGCCGUAACUAUAACGGUCCUAAGGUAGCGAAAUUCCUUGUCGGGUAAGUUCCGACCUGCACGAAUGGCGUAAUGAUGGCCAGGCUGUCUCCACCCGAGACUCAGUGAAAUUGAACUCGCUGUGAAGAUGCAGUGUACCCGCGGCAAGACGGAAAGACCCCGUGAACCUUUACUAUAGCUUGACACUGAACAUUGAGCCUUGAUGUGUAGGAUAGGUGGGAGGCUUUGAAGUGUGGACGCCAGUCUGCAUGGAGCCGACCUUGAAAUACCACCCUUUAAUGUUUGAUGUUCUAACGUGGACCCGUUACCCGGGUUGCGGACAGUGUCUGGUGGGUAGUUUGACUGGGGCGGUCUCCUCCUAAAGAGUAACGGAGGAGCACGAAGGUUGGCUAAUCCUGGUCGGACAUCAGGAGGUUAGUGCAAUGGCAUAAGCCAGCUUGACUGCGAGCGUGACGGCGCGAGCAGGUGCGAAAGCAGGUCAUAGUGAUCCGGUGGUUCUGAAUGGAAGGGCCAUCGCUCAACGGAUAAAAGGUACUCCGGGGAUAACAGGCUGAUACCGCCCAAGAGUUCAUAUCGACGGCGGUGUUUGGCACCUCGAUGUCGGCUCAUCACAUCCUGGGGCUGAAGUAGGUCCCAAGGGUAUGGCUGUUCGCCAUUUAAAGUGGUACGCGAGCUGGGUUUAGAACGUCGUGAGACAGUUCGGUCCCUAUCUGCCGUGGGCGCUGGAGAACUGAGGGGGGCUGCUCCUAGUACGAGAGGACCGGAGUGGACGCAUCACUGGUGUUCGGGUUGUCAUGCCAAUGGCACUGCCCGGUAGCUAAAUGCGGAAGAGAUAAGUGCUGAAAGCAUCUAAGCACGAAACUUGCCCCGAGAUGAGUUCUCCCUGAGACUUUAGGUCUCCUGAAGGAACGUUGAAGACGACGACGUUGAUAGGCCGGGUGUGUAAGCGCAGCGAUGCGUUGAGCUAACCGGUACUAAUGAACCG
rnacentral:rRNA from 1 species